ensembl:snoRNA SNORA13 small nucleolar RNA, H/ACA box 13
GGCCUUUGUGUUGCCCAUUCACUUUUGGAAACUAGUGAAUGUGGUGUCAAAAAAGGCGUAAAUUAAAUUCUCUGCAGCCUUUUCUUGCCCUUGAAUUUGGUGUGUUUGGUGUAGGAGCUGCAGAGGUAACAGUU